GGAAGAGGCGGGCUUUUCCGACCCCCACGCCCCUGGGAUGGUAAAGCUGCAGCCCACCUCGUCCUGGGGCAGAGUCUCCUUGCCUGCCUGCUUGCAUCUCUCACCAGCGUCCUAUCCUAACACCUCUGUUUCGUGCCCAUCACUUUGUCUCUCGCUGAAUUCCUUCUGCGUGGAGACAUAGAGAACCUCAACCUCAGUGAGUCCAGACGCAGGAGGAGAGCGUUUCCCAGACUCCUUGCCCCUGAGUGAGGAUACGUGCCUGGUUCUGGCCAAGGGGCUGUGGCUGAUACAGCAGGUGUCACUCUGAGUCAAAGCAAAGGAUGUGCAGACAUGAAGUCUCCACGCUCUCUCUUCUUCACCCCUUGUCUCAAGGUGUCAGAGGCACCAGCUUAUGAGGGAUGUAUGAUUGUCAGCACCUCCACUUUACAGAAGAGGACACCUGGGUAUGAUGAUAAGCUGCCCAAGGUCCCAUAUCUGGUGCUUCAUAAUCCUGGCAAAGCCACUAAGCUGAGCAGAGCUGCAGAAAUUCCCUGGCUUUCCUACUGGAAGAUGUCGAUCAAUGAGGGCGCUCGCGGCCUUUGAUGUCAGGCAUCCACGCCCGCUUCUGUAAAGACUUUCGGCUCCACAAGAGAACGGGAAGUCACUGUGAAGAAAGAGGCAGGCGAUGUAACCGGAAAAGCGCAGGUUUGAUGUCAAACAGACCUGCGUGGUUCCACCGCUUUCCGACUGUGUGACACCUCCCCCCCCCCACCACCGGUCCAGUUGCUCUCUGAACCCAAGUCUUGGAAAAUGGAACCAAUAAUACCUGUUCUUCAAGACUGUUCCUGCUGGAAGCUCCAAGAUUCAUCUGAAGGCGUGAUCACAUCCUCAAUGUUGAGUGGACUAUGAACCGGCUGCCAGAGACAGGGUUCCAAGCCGGGCCAGGCCCAUCCCAAUGCCCACCCGAAAAGACGGGACAGAGGAAAGAAAGAAACAAAAUCCUGGGGCUCCAUUGGCUUUCUUUUUGACUCCAGCUGAAGUUGCUGCAUAGUGUGGCCUUGCCAGUCCUCGCCUUGAAAAGUAGGUCUUGCGAAGUGAAACUGCGUGGCACAAAACAUGCCUUAGAGAGGCGGGGUAAACCUUUGUCUCCAAGAGUCAGGAGUUAGCAAAGGCAGAUGCACGGGAAAAAUUCCCGCCCAGGAGCUGCUGGGUGUCCCUCCUGGCAGUUUUCCUGGUGGGCCAGUGGUUGAGGUGGAGGAGGGGCAGCCCGGGAGGUCCCUGCAGAAAACAGGGAGGGAUCACUGAACAAGAAAGAAGUAAAAUAAAACAAAGAUCUAAAAAGCUCAGGAUCCGCCCACGCAGGGGACAGGGUCCCAGCAGCAUACUUAGCGCAGGCCAGGCCCCUCUGGAAAGUUGGCUGAACCUUGCCCUCUGGGCACAAGGAAAAGCAGCUCUCCUGCCAGGACCGCUGUAUAAACAUCCUUUUCCUACAGGAUCUCGUGGCUUGGGGUUCCAGUGGAGGGCAGGGAAGGUGUCCUAAUGCAGACAGAUUUCAAACUCCCGCUGUCCCUUUUCAGAUCAUAAAUUACUGUUAAUUUUGUUUACACCCCAGCCCCCUUCCUCUCUUAAUAGUUAGAGAAAGAGCAAUCACGACAAAAUCAAGGCUCCAAGGGGUAUAUGGCAGCCCCGCUCCGCUGGCUGAGAAGCAGCCAAGUGUUGCCUCAUCCUGCACUUCCCUGCAACAAAAGUUAAAUAUUUAUGUACCACAGGUGCCUCGCCUUGCCUCCUGCAAUAUCCUUUUGUAGUUUUGCUGUCAGGGAGCAGUGCGAGAGCUUCCAUUUCUGUUUAACUGGAAAGGGAAACUUGGUUUGUUUGUUCCCUUUCUCUCCCUCCUCCAACUCCAGGAGGCUCCAUGAGCCAGGCUGGGAGGCCUGGGGUGGAGGCUGCUGAGAAGUCGACCCAGGAUCUGUGUGGUUUCUCCUUGUUCAGGCAUCACCUUGUUUUGUAGUAAGCACUUCCCGGGGCCCUUUGCCCAAGCCAUCCUUGCCUGAGAGGUAUGCCCGAGCUUGAAGUUGGUUGGGUCUGGGUUUCAAUUCUAGGUCAACCCACUUAUUUAGCUGGUGACUCGCUCUCUUAGAGUCUCAGUUCUCAUCUUUAAAAUGGGGAUAAUAAUAAUAUUUUCCUAAGAGAGUGGUUGGGAAGAUGAAAAAUAGUGUAUAAAAAGUGACUGAGGCCACGUGAGAUUUUGGUAAAUGCCAGGUCUUCUAAAACAUUUUUGUUGAAAUGUAGUCAAUUUACAAAAUUAUGUUUGUGUUGGGUAUACAGCAAGGUGUUUAUAUAUAUGUGUGUGUGUGUGUAUAUAUAUAUAUAUAUACACACACACUUUUUAGUGUCAGGUAUACAGCAAAGUUAUAUAUAUAUAUGUGUGUGUGUGUGUAUAUAUACACUUUUUAAGAUUCUUUUCCAUUAUAAAUUAUUAUAAGAUGUUGAGUACAAUGCCCUGUGCUGUACUGUAGGUUUUUGUUGGUUAUCUAUUUUACAUGUAGUAGUAUGUAUAUGUUAAUCACAAAUUCCUAAUUUAUCCUCUCCAGGCCCUCUCUCCCCUUCAGUAACCAUAAGUUUGUUUUCUAUGUCUGUGAGUCUAUUUAUGUUUUGUAAAUAACUUCAUUUGUAUCCUUUUCUUAGAUUGCACAUAUAAGUGCUAUCAUAUGGUAUUUGUCUUUCUCUUUCCGGCUUACUUUCACUUAGUAUGAUGAUCUCUAGGUCCUUCCAUGUUGCUGCAAAUGGCACUGUUCCAUUCCUUUUUAUGGCUGAGUAAUAUUCCACUGUGUAUAUGCACCACAUCUUCUUUAUCCAUUCAUCUGUCAGUGGACACUUAGGCUGCUUCCAUAUCUUGGCUGUUGUGAAUAGUGCUGCUAUGAUCAUCGGGGUGUAAAUGCCAGUUCUUGCUUCUUUCUUGAUUGUGUUUCCAAGAUAGUAGCCAUCACCCACAUGUGGCUAUUGAGCACUGGAGAAGAGCUGGAAGUUAAAAUACACAAAGGAUUUCAAAGACCUAACAAAGAAAAAAAAUUUUAAAAAAUCUCAUUACUAAUGUUUCAUACUGAUUACAUGUUGGAAUGACAAUCCAUUCUAAUAAUGGAUUAAAUAAAUACAUUUUUAAAGUUAGCCUUCAUUUUACUCUUUAAAAGUGUGGAUAUGGGAAGAGUUUAAAUGAUGCCUGUGGCUUGUAUUUGGGGCAUCCAUUAUAUUUCCAUCAGGCUGCCUUGCUCACCAAUUCCUCUAUUCAAAAUUGUUCCUUUCUUCAAAGCCUAGCUCAAGCUUUCCUGUCUUCAUGAGGCAGUAAGGUCAAUCUCUUCCUUCUCUGAAAUCUGCUGGAGGUUUUGUUGUUGGAGAAAGUCACAACGUGGGUGUUUGUCAGCUGAAUUCCAGCAGGAGAAGCAUGUAAAGUGUUCAGCCCAGGGCUUGACAAAUUGUAAACCGAUACAUGUUAUCAUCCUAUUUUUCUUGCUAUUUUCAUUAGCGUCUGGAUACUAAGUUCAGUACUGGUUAUAUGCUGUCUCAGAUUCUUCUUCGGUUCUUUCUUGUGUGUUUAGUUUUGCUGAAUAUGACAUCUUAGAGGACAGAGACCACAUCACCUAUCUCCUGGGUCUGUCCUUAACCCACAGAGCCAUGCUAGGCACAGUGAAUUCCCUCCCAUGGUCAUCCACGGACAAAGGCAGAGCCUAUUGACUGAAUAGCUUGGCUUCUUAGAGUCACUGACAUUGCUGCUUUUACUCCACAGAUACUUGCUCUUCCUGGAAAGCUUUCUUCAUUUCCCUUCUUACUUCAUCGAGCUAACUCUUUUGCAUCCUGAAAAAUAUUAAUAGUUGUUAAGUACCAGUAGCACUUCCUAGGUGCUCCCUCCCACUCUAAAUAUAGUUUACAGCUGCCCUGUAAGGUAUUAUCAUUCCUCUCACUUUACCGAUGAGGAAACUGGGGCACCGAGAGAUUAAGGAACUCAUCCAAGUUACCCAGUUGAUAAGUGGUAGGGGUGGUGUUCAGACUCAGGUGGUUUGGAGUUCCCAUUGGGACUCAGCAGUAACAAAUCUGACCAGUAACCAUGACGAUGUUUGAUCCCUGGCCUUGCUCAGUGGGUUAAGGAUCCUGGGUUGCUGUGAGCUGUGAUGUAGGUCAUAGAUGCAGCUCAGACCUAGUGUUGCUGUGGCUGUAGCAUAGGCCGGCAGCUGAAGCUCCGAUUUAACCCCUAGCCUGGGAACUUCCAUAUGCCGCAGGUGCAAUCCUGGAAAAAAAAAAAAAGGCAAAAACCUCAGGUGGUUUGGUCCUAGACCCCUUGGUGUACUGUAUCUCCAGGCUCAGUGUUACCUUCACCAGGGGCCCCUCUGGAGCCCUUCUCCGAAUCUUAACUUAUUCCUUUUCCCUCUCCAUCAGAACUUUGUCAUAACUCUUACAUCCUAGAUUAGAAUCCCUGGUUUGUUUAUUUAUUUAUUUAUGUUUUAAUUUAUAUUAUUAUUUUUUGUCUUUUUGCCUUUUCUAGGGCCGCUCCUGUGGCAUAUGGAGGUUUCCAGGCCAGGGGUGGAAUCGGAGCUGUAGCCGCCGGCCUUUGCCAGAGCCGCGACUUUGAGCUACACCACAGCUCAUGGCUACGCCAGAUCCUUAACCCACUGAGCAAGGCCAGGGAUCGAACCCAUAACCUCAUGGUUCCUAGUCGGAUUCAUUAACCACUGAGCCACGGCAGGAACUCCCCGAAUCCCUGGUUUACAAUCAGUUCCCCUCAUUGACCUGAAAUCUCCCCAAGAAACUCAGCACCCGAGGCCUACUGAGCCCUUUGUGGGUAUCCCAGGGAAGAAGGAGCAUGGCUUCAGGUGACAAGUUCUGCGAGCCUCCCAAGAGGUGGGUCUAACAGAUUUUUCUCUUCCAUGUCAUCAUCCUGUUAUUUUUUCAUUCCAUUUAUAGCAAUCUUUAACCAUCCUUUUUUUUUUUUUUUUUUUCCACUUGAUUAAAAAAAACCCUUUCUUUCUCCCAAGAAUGAAGGUGGGGAACUUAUCCAUCUUGUUCACUGUUUCACUCCUAUGCCUGGCACAGAAUGUAUGUUUCAGUCAAUAUUUGUUGAGUUGUAUAAAUGAAUGAAUGAAUUCACUGAGCGUCUACUCUAUGUGCCAGGCACUGUGAAAAUACCACAGUUCUUGCCUUCAUGGUUUAUAAGUUUAUGGUGUGACAGUGAUGGUGGGGAAGGUGGGGCCGGAGGCAACAACAUCAUAGAGGUAGAGAAAGGACAGGAAAGGACUUAGCAUGCAGGGCUGCGGGAGUCCAGAAAGGAUUCCUGCAGGAAGUGACAAUGGAGAAGAGACCCAGCACAUCAAUGGGAGACAGGCAAGCUGAAGGGGAAGGUGAGAGAUGAGCGAUGGGGGAGAUGGGAAGUGAUUCCAGGUAGGGGGGAGGAGAGUGGGAAAGGUAUGGCAGAAAGUAUGACAAGUCCAUUGGGUGCAAAGAGUGGAAGGAAGUGUCCUGAGAAAUGAAUCAGGAUACCUGGCAAUGUUGUACUUUCUCUUCACAGAUUCCUUUCUCCACCUCCAGCCGCCUCGGUUGUCCUUUUCAUCUUUGUUUCUGGCUUGACUAGGUUUAGUGAAUGGUUUCCGUAGACAGAGUUUGCAUCGCUUCACUUGCUCAGGAAGCCGCAGCCCUCCCAGUUGCCUAUGUUAUCAUAAUUCCCUACAGUUAUCUCAUGAUCUACCCUUUUCUGUCUAUUUUUUGCAUGAGUUAUCAUUUGAUCCUCACAAUAACUAGCUGAGUUCUCUCAAUUCUCAGCCUGGACCUAAAACUUGGCUGUUAUCCAUCCCUUACCUCCAUCCUAUCAUGAUUCUUAUAAUUUUAUGACUCUUCUUUGCUCUUCCCUGCACAGAUGCUCGAUCUGCCAAUGAAUUUGCAUCCCUCUCUCUAUGUAUUUCAUUUAAGAACCUCCCAAGUCAAAAAUCCACUAUCUGAUGAAUACUUAGAGGGUAGAGCAAUAUAAUAGUUAUACUCAGAUCUGUUCUGGGAGGUCAAGGGUAUGUGUUCUUAGAUUUUAUGUUUUGUGUACUUCCGUUGUUGUACCUUGUUGUAGACUGUCUAUUAUGUAUUUGGAACGAUCCUACUCUUUAGAAAUUUCUUCUCAUAGAGAGUUUUGAUGUGUCUACCUAAGGCAUCUGUCCUCUGGUCUUGGUUCUAAUGUUGGUCUGUCAGGCACAGAAUAAA
rnacentral:lncRNA from 1 species